rnacentral:rRNA from 1 species
CAAAUCGUACCCCAAACCGACACAGGUGGUCAGGUAGAGAAUACCAAGGCGCUUGAGAGAACUCGGGUGAAGGAACUAGGCAAAAUGGUGCCGUAACUUCGGGAGAAGGCACGCUGAUAUGUAGGUGAAGCCCCUGCGGGCGGAGCUGAAAUCAGUCGAAGAUACCAGCUGGCUGCAACUGUUUAUUAAAAACACAGCACUGUGCAAACACGAAAGUGGACGUAUACGGUGUGACGCCUGCCCGGUGCCGGAAGGUUAAUUGAUGGGGUUAGCGGCAACGCGAAGCUCUUGAUCGAAGCCCCGGUAAACGGCGGCCGUAACUAUAACGGUCCUAAGGUAGCGAAAUUCCUUGUCGGGUAAGUUCCGACCUGCACGAAUGGCGUAAUGAUGGCCAGGCUGUCUCCACCCGAGACUCAGUGAAAUUGAACUCGCUGUGAAGAUGCAGUGUACCCGCGGCAAGACGGAAAGACCCCGUGAACCUUUACUAUAGCUUGACACUGAACACUGGUCCUUGAUGUGUAGGAUAGGUGGGAGGCUUUGAAGCGUGGACGCCAGUCUGCGUGGAGCCGUCCUUGAAAUACCACCCUUUAAUGGCUGGUGUUCUAACGUGGACCCGUGAUCCGGGUUGCGGACAGUGUCUGGUGGGUAGUUUGACUGGGGCGGUCUCCUCCCAAAGAGUAACGGAGGAGCACGAAGGUUAGCUAAUCCUGGUCGGACAUCAGGAGGUUAGUGCAAUGGCAUAAGCUAGCUUGACUGCGAGAGUGACGGCUCGAGCAGGUGCGAAAGCAGGUCAUAGUGAUCCGGUGGUUCUGAAUGGAAGGGCCAUCGCUCAACGGAUAAAAGGUACUCCGGGGAUAACAGGCUGAUACCGCCCAAGAGUUCAUAUCGACGGCGGUGUUUGGCACCUCGAUGUCGGCUCAUCACAUCCUGGGGCUGAAGUAGGUCCCAAGGGUAUGGCUGUUCGCCAUUUAAAGUGGUACGCGAGCUGGGUUUAGAACGUCGUGAGACAGUUCGGUCCCUAUCUGCCGUGGGCGCUGGAGAAUUGAGGGGGGCUGCUCCUAGUACGAGAGGACCGGAGUGGACGCAUCACUGGUGUUCGGGUUGUCAUGCCAAUGGCACUGCCCGGUAGCUAAAUGCGGAAGAGAUAAGUGCUGAAAGCAUCUAAGCACGAAACUUGCCCCGAGAUGAGUUCUCCCUGAGACUUUAAGUCUCCUGAAGGAACGUUGAAGACGACGACGUUGAUAGGCCGGGUGUGUAAGCGCAGCGAUGCGUUGAGCUAACCGGUACUAAUGAACCGUGAGGCUUAACCUU